CCUCCUUUCUAAGGAAAAAAGUUAUCAUCUUCAGUUUUGAGAGACUUAAAAANGUUUUUCGUUUUUUUAAGAUUAAGGGCCUAUAGCUCAGUUGGUUAGAGCACACGCCUGAUAAGCGUGAGGUCGGUGGUUCAAGUCCAUUUAGGCCCACCAAAGUAAAAUAGGUCACAUCUUAAAAAAAGCUCUUUGAAAAGUAGAUAAACAACAAAGGUUAAAAAAAUCAAAGG
rnacentral:tRNA from 1 species